UUUAUUUUUCCGCCACUUAACAAAGAAAAGCUAUUUUUUCAAAGAAAAAAGAAUUCAUUCAUCCCUUCCCUAUCUUUCUUCUCCUCCAUUAACAGAUGAACUUUCUCUCUCACUAGGGUUUCUUUCGACAAAACAAAGCCAUUUCUCGAUCAAUGGAAACUCCAAUCUGCGAUCCCACCCCUAGUAUCUCAAUCUGAACAUGACUACUCAAGCCGCGACACCGCCUGGUCCUCUGCUCGUUUCACGCCGUCCUCGUACUCUCCUGCUCCAGAUCGUCAUCUGCUAUCCCUAUGCCGUCAUCGUUGGGCUCCAGAUCCGGCGAGAGAAAGCUUUGAUCCUCUCCAAUGGUGGAAAGUUUUACGUAUUUGCAAGACAGGUCCCUCAAUUUCUGAUCAGCCCGAGUUUGAAGAUGGUUCUAACGAUGAGUUUAAGCAAAUAUUUCAGAAUUUUAACUUCAGGGAACUUGAUUCCUUUGAGGGAACAAAGUUAUAGAUGAAUCUCGUAGCAUGAAUGUUAAGGACAAAGUCACAAAACCCCAGAUUUGGGAUACUGCUGGUGAAGAAAGGUUUCUUCUCGAUCUGUGUUCUUUACUGACCACUCACUCUGCUUUCUUUCUCAGCAAUCUCCUGCGUGUAGGAUAAGAAAGUAGUUUCUUUUGUUGCAGCCAAGUUGAAAAUUGUAAUCUUUUCUGUUGGGUUAAAAUUUUGGAUUUGGGUGCUUAGUAUAUCUCAUAAGUUGCCUUUUCUUUAGUUCUUUCGCUCUGUUUCAAUAGCUAACUUUGGUGUUUCCUUAUAUGAAGUGGUAUGGGUCCUGAUUUCCAGAGUCAGUUCAUAGAUAUUCGAUGCCCAUCGUUUGCCUCUCGCGUUUGAGUACUUUAAUGAGGAGUUGUCUGGUGGGCAAAGUUGCACACGAGUGCUUAUUGAACUUAGUGGAACUAGUCAAGAAACUAUCAAAUGAUCUAGAUAAGAAAUUACCACGUUGGAGGAACCAUAGUUCGAGUUGGAGGUAUGGCAAAAGGCUCCUUGAUUAUUCAUCCAAACAUGGCAACUACGCUAUGUGUGCCGGUACGAGGAAGGAUCGGUACUUUUUGCCGGUGCGUGGAGGCUUGUUGCGGUGAAGAAAGAAGAUACGGCUUAGCGUUGAUGUUGAGGUCGUGAGGGUUUGGGAAGUGUGUUUAUAGACACUGUUAAUGUUGCAUUUAGUAACCAGGUAGUUAGUGAAUGUAGUGGUCGCCUUGGAGAUUCAGGGGAAACCCGACUGCCAUUGAUUUUCAUAAUGGCAUUAGUAAUUUUAUAUGUUGAAGCACUCCUGGUUACUAAUUUGACAGAUUCUGUUUAAAAUGGUCAAUGAAAUUUUAUUUUAGUUAUUUACUUA